GGGGGCUUGGGUGCACAACUAUAGACCUUGGCACUUCCUGUAUGGUGGGGACACCUCCAGCGGGCUGCUGAAGUCCGAGCUGCAGAGCCAUUAACCCUGUGCAGAGUGAGUGUGAGCAUCAUACAGACUGGGAUGGCAGCCACUCAACCCCCUUUUAGAACUGCAAACGUUGUCAUGAGGCACCAGUUUGGAGAAGGAAGACAGAAAAAUCACAGAACACCCUGACUUGGAAAGGACCCUCAAGGAUCAAGUCCAAAUCAGGGCCCUGCACCUGAGAGCCCUGGGCAGCUCACAGGAG